CAGUAGCCACGGGAAAACGUAAGGUGCAAGCGUUAAUCGGAAUUACUGGGCGUAAAGCGUGCGCAGGCGGUCCGCUAAGACAGAUGUGAAAUCCCCGGGCUUAACCUGGGAACUGCAUUUGUGACUGGCGGGCUAGAGUAUGGCAGAGGGGGGUAGAAUUCCACGUGUAGCAGUGAGAUGCGUAGAGAUGUGGAGGAAUACCGAUGGCGAAGGCAGCCCCCUGGGCCAAUACUGACGCUCAUGCACGAAAGCGUGGGGAGCAAACAGGAUUAGAUACCCGCGUAGUCCCUGUCUCUUAUAC
rnacentral:rRNA from 1 species